GCUGGGUGUGGUGGCGGGUGCCUGUAAUCCCAGCUAUUCGGGAGGCUGAGGUGGGAGAAUCGCUUGAACCUGGGAGGUGGAGGUUGCAGUGAGCUGAGAUUGCGCCACUGCACUUCAUCCUGGGUGACAGAGCGAGACUCCAUCUCAA
ensembl:misc_RNA Metazoa_SRP Metazoan signal recognition particle RNA